rnacentral:rRNA from 1 species
UACAGAGGUCUCAAGCGUUGUUCGGAUUCAUUGGGCGUAAAGGGUGCGUAGGUGGUGGGGUAAGUCGGAUGUGAAAUCCCGGGGCUCAACCCCGGAACUGCAUUCGAAACUGCCUUGCUCGAGUACUGGAGAGGAGACUGGAAUUUACGGUGUAGCGGUGAAAUGUGUAGAGAUCGGGAGGAACACCGGUGGCGAAGGCGGGUCUCUGGGCAAUUCCUGACGCUGAGGCGCGAAAGCGUGGGGAGCAAACGGG